CUGGCCGGGCUGGGACUGUAUCUGGAGGUCGGAGCAGAGGAAAAGUGAAGCCAACGGGUGCAGCAGAGCGAGAGGAGCUGCCCAGAAGACUCUGACAGGGACAGGCAGAGAGGGAACAGUGCUCCACUGGGCAAAUACACAAAUAUGGCUGCUAAAUCUCUGUUCAGCCUUCUCUGCAUCCUAUCAGGGAUUGCCUAUCCAGCAUCUGCCGCCAGGCUUGGGGAACAGCAGCAGACAUUCCCGAAUUGUAAAAAGGGAUUUUUCCUGAGUGAGCGAAACCAGUGCUUUCCGUGUAACUGCAAAAGCCACGCAGACUCCUGUGAAGACAUCACUGGUGUUUGCAGACCAAUGUUCUCUCUUCAGAACUGCAGGGAUCACAGUACAGGAGAUUUCUGUGAGAUGUGUGAGGAUGGCUACAUGGUUGCCCCCAGCCGAGAUGGAAGACACACCUGCCGCCCCUGCGCCUGCCCCCUGUCCCUUCCCUCCAAUAACUUUGCAGUGCACUGUGACGGAGGAGCUGCCGUUCUGCGCUGCAAGUGCAAAGAGGGCUACGCUGGACAUCUGUGUGAGAGGUGUACUCCAGGUUACUACGGCAAGCCCAUGGAGAUUGGUAAUUCCUGUAAGAGGUGCGACUGUAACGGAAACUCCGACCCUAACCUGAUCUUCAGCGAGUGCCACAACGUGACGGGCCACUGCCAGCACUGCUGGGGUAACACCGGGGGGGCCAAGUGCGAAAGGUGUGCCCCCGGUUUCUACGGCGACGCCAUCAGUGCCAAGAACUGCAGAGAUUGUGAGUGCAGUGAAUGUGGCACCUCCUCAUGCGACGACAGGACAGGUGUGUGUCACUGCAAGCCGGGAGUCACAGGACGCCUCUGCGACCAGUGUGAGGAGGGCUACUCUGGUUUCUCCAGCUGUCAGGGCUGUCGGAGGUGUGAAUGCGGGCCGGCCUCCCUCCGCUCCACCUGCCACCCCCUCACCCACAGCUGCUCGUGCCGCCCUGGGGCCGGGGGCCGUUACUGUGAGCGCUGCCUCCCCGGCUACUGGGACUAUAUCCCCUCUGGCUGCCAGAAGUGUGACUGUGAGAGCGGACACUGUGAUAUGCAUACAGGGGAGUGCCUGUCAGAGGCUGCUGUCAACCUGUGCAACAUCAGUUGUGAUGAGUGCAUUUGGCAUCUGAUUGGAGACUUGCGGCAGUCCAAUAAGACGCUGGACCAGCUUAAAGUGGCAGUGCUGAACAUCUCCUCCGGGGCUGCAGCCAACGACAGGCUCAAAUACUACAACUACACUGCUCUACGACUGCAGACUCAGUUUCAAGGCUGGAGGAACAAGUCAGCUGUGAUGAAGGCCCAGGCGGGGGAGCUGGAGAAGAACACAGACGCGGUGGUGUUGGACAUCAAACAGCUGGGAGACUCGGAGCGUGUGGUGCAGGCUCUGGGGGAGAAGCUGGACAACGACACGCUGCAGACCUUCACCCUGGCUGAACAGCUCAGCAGUGACCUCACCGACCUCAACAUACGCAUCGAAGAGAUGAUCCAUGACUGGGAGCUGUACAGUGUGCAGCAGGAAGUGGAUCCAGAGCUGGCCAGGCAGAGCGCAGAGCGGGCCCACAGGAUGCUGACGUGGAUGAGGACCCUGGACCUGUCCCCACGAGAGCCCACCGCCACUGACGAGUCCACUGAAGCCCACGACUUGCUGAGGAGAAUCCGCCAGUUGGAGAAGAAGUUGAUCAUCACAGACGGCAGACUCCCUCCUGUCAGGGAGAUUUUUUUGCGCUUUUCCAGCAAGCUGUCGGACGCUGAGGGCUUCCUGCAGAAAGCAGCCAGCAGCCUUCAGGAGACGGAGGACAGGAACAGAGCCAGGGUCCUCAAAUUCCAGAGGAAUGAGGCCAGGAAGCAGAGGCUGACAGAGGAAUACGCUGCUGUCAACGACACACUGGAGACAUCCAGAGGCUCCAUCUCUGACACUGAGAGGACUGUGGCUGAGAUGGAGGCUAUGGUGCAGAACGUGAGUCAGUACCAUGCAGCGAUUGAUGGUGCCGGCCAAAAGCUGACGGAGAAGACUGAGCGUCUGGUGCUGGCUGACAGAGAUCUGGUGCAGAGGGCUGAUGACCACGCUGAAGACCUGGACCGCCAGGCCAACCAGCUGGAGGAGGAUCUGAGAGAGAGUGACGCCAAUGGCUUUGUGCAGAAAGCCAUCAGCGCUGCCAACGUCUACAAUAACAUUGUGAAAUACAUCGAUGAUGCCAACAUCACCUCGCUCACCACACACAACUUAUCCCAAAGAGCUGAAGAAGCCAUCAAUGGAAUCAACAUGCAGCUCGGGAACCUGGUGACACAGAGCAGCAACGUCUUCAAAGAGUCUGUUUCUCUACAUUCAGAACAAAAUGAGGUAGAAGCAGAGGUGAUGGACAAGCUGAAAUACAUUGAGGAGACCAAAGAAACCAUGGAUAAAAACACGAAAAAACUUGCAGAAAUAGUGGACAAUAUCAGUGGGAUUCAUACAGACAGAACACCACAACGACUGGAGUUCACCCAGAAUGUGGCUGAGGCGACUCUCAACCGCUCAGCAGAAGUCCUUCAAACCAUAACCCCCAUCAGCAUCAAGGUGGAGGAGUGGGCCAACAACAUGCGGAACAAUGAAUACUCUACAACUGCCUACGAAGAGGCCGUCCUCUCUGCCGGCCAAGCAGUGGAGAACCUAGAUGUUCUGGUUCCUGUGCUGCUGGACAAGCUUAAGGUGGUGGAGCAGAAGAAGCCUUUUAACAACGUGACCACCAACAUCCUGAGGAUCAGAGAGCUGAUAGCCCAAGCCAGGAGUGUGGCCAAGAAGGUGCAAGUGUCCAUGAAGUUUAACGGUCAGUCUUCAGUGGAGGUCCAUCCUCACAGCAACCUGGAAGACCUGAAGACAGUGACGUCCAUCAGUUUGUUCAUGAGAGUGGACCCUGACAAGGAUCCCAUUGAGGACCGCUUCAUCUUAUACCUGGGAGACAGAAAUGGUAAGAAAGACUACAUGGGACUGGCUAUCAAGAAUGACAACCUGGUGUACGUGUACAACCUGGGGGGAGAAGAUGUUGAGAUUCCACUGAGUUCAAAGCCUGUGAGCCAGUGGCCCGCAGUCUUCAACUACAUCAAAGUAGAGAGGCUGGGCAGACAUGGAAAAGUCUUUCUGACCAUCCCCAGCCAGAGCUCCACAGAUGAGCAGAAGUUCAUCCAGAAAGGAGAAGCUCCGGGCGCUGACUCACUGUUCGACAUCGACCCCAAGGAUAUUGUGUUCUUUGUAGGUGGCGUCCCAUCGGAUAUCAGGCUCCCACCUCUUCUGAGUCUUGCUCCUUUUGUGGGCUGCAUCGAGUUGGGUUCGCUGAACAAUGACGUGAUCAGUCUUUACAAUUUCAAAGACACUCACAGAAUGGACUUGAUUACAUCAACACCGUGCCCCAGGUACAAGUUGGCAUUUUCCCAGAGUCGCAUUGCCAGCUACCUGUUUGAUGGAACGGGCUACGCACUCAUCAAUAAUAUUGAGAGGAGGGGCCGGUUUGGUGUGGUCACCAGAUUUGAUAUAGCAGUGCGAACUGUGGCAAACGAUGGCGUCCUUCUCCUUAUGGUCCAGGGGGAUAAUUUCUUCCUUUUAGAGUUAAAGAAUGGCUUCCUGCGCCUGAUGUAUGACUUUGGGUUCAGCAAAGGGCCUCAACUUUUAGAGGAUAAAAUACCAAAGCUCCAAAUAAAUGAUGCACGAUACCAUGAGGUGUCAGUAAUCUACCAUCAGUCAAAGAAGGUUAUCCUGCUGGUGGACAAGAGCCAUGUUAAAUCUUUGGAGAAUCCAAAAACCACACUGCCUUUCUCCGAUAUCUACAUAGGUGGGGCUCCCUCAAGCAUUUUAAAAUCCAGGCCGGAGCUGUCUGCUGUCCUGGGUCUGAAAGGCUGUGUGAAAGGCUUCCAGUUCCAGAAAAAAGACUUCAAUCUGCUGGAGGAGCCUGGCACCAUUGGCAUCAGCAGUGGCUGCCCCGAGGAGUCCUUUAUGUCCCGUAAAGCCUAUUUCACUGGUGAGAGCUACCUGGGAUCAACAGCCAAGAUCUCGCCCUUCGACAACUUUGAGGGAGGACUGAAUUUCAGAACACUGCAGCCGGCCGGACUCCUGUUCUACACGAAUGAAGGGUCAGAAGAGUUCAGCAUAUCCCUGGAGAAUGGAGCCGUGGUGCUGACCUGCAGAGGCACGCGGGUUAAAUCACACAAGAAACAAUACAAUGAUGGAAGGACACACUUCUUAGUGGCCUCAGUAAACAGUCAGAAGUAUUCACUGUUGGUGGACGACAAAGACAAGCAGGAGAAGAAACGUCCAUCAUCUGCCCCGAAAGCCUCCUCAGGUUCUGCUGUACAGACCUUCUACUACGGAGGCUCUCCCAGCAGCAGCUUCAAGAACUUCACCGGCUGCAUCAGCUACGCCUACAUCAACAGACAGGACCGGGAUAUAGAGCCUGAGGACUUCCAGCGGUACACAGAGAAGGUGCAGACAUCCCUGCAGGACUGCCCCGUCCAGCGGCCCCCUGCUGCUCUGCUGUCCAGGCACAGGGAACAUAGUUCUAGAGCCAGACAGAGCAUGUCACAGAAGGUCAGCAGGGAGUCCAGCCUCCCCCUGGGCCUGAUGGAACUGAGGAGUGAUGAGCAGGAGCCGUCCGAGCUCAGCACGGAGACCUGCUAUCUCUCUUCAAGUCCAAGGGCAACCCGCCAAGCCUUCCACUACGGCGGCAUCGCCAACAGCAGGCAGCACCUCACAAACCUCCCGGAGUCCCUCUCUGAAAGGUCCCACUUCUCCUUGUCCCUGAAGACCAACUCAUCGUUUGGCCUCAUCUUUUAUGUAUCUGACGUCCAAGAGGACAACUUCAUGGCCCUGUUCCUGGCCCACGGGAAGCUCGUAUACACAUUCAAUGUAGAAGAGCAAAGAGUCAAAAUCAGGAGCGAGGAGAAAUACAAUGACGGUGCAUGGCACAAUGUGGUUUUUAUCCGUGAUGGGAGUAUGGGCCGGUUGAUUAUUGAUGGGCUCACAGUGCUGGAGGACAGAGCUCAGGGAAGCAAUGUCUCCUGGCAUGUCAGCAGUCCCCUGUUUGUGGGAGGGGUUCCUCCUGGGAGAGCCCAAAAGAAUAUUCAGAGAAACUCUGCAUACAGCUUCACCGGCUGUCUGAAGAACCUGCAGCUCGAUGGCCAGUGGCUGUCCUCGGUGACAGAGACUUUUGGGGUCACCCCAUGCUUCGAGGGACUUUCUGAGGCGGGAACGUUCUUCUCAGAGGAAGGAGGAUACGUCCUGCUUGAUGAGACUUUUGACCUCGGGUUGAGGUUUGAGCUGGUGAUGGAGGUGCGCCCCCGGGUGCCAUCUGGGAUGCUGCUGCAUGUGCAAACAGCAGAGGGCCAUUUCACAAUUUUUCUUGAUCAAGGAGUGGUGGUGGUUUUGUGAAUGAUGGGUCUCAUGAGUUCUUCACAAAGGUGAAACCAAGACAGAGUCUGUGUGCUGGCCACUGGAACAGAAUCACUGUGAUCCGUGAUGCCAACGUUGUCCAGCUGGACGUGGAUUCUGAGGUCAACCAUGUGGUUGGACCUCUGAACCCCAGCUCCACAGAUGCCAAGAAGCCGGUGUUUAUCGGUGGAGCCCAAGAUCCCUUCCUCCCAGAGGGCAUUGCCACCAGGAAGGCUUACGUAGGCUGUAUGAGGAACCUGACCAUCAAUAACAGCCGAGUGAGCUUCAGCAAAGCGGCUCUGGUCAGUGGAGCGGUCAGUGUUGGAACCUGUCCAGCAGUAUAAACCAUCACUGAAACACAUGAAAAACUCUCGCUGGUUAACAUUCAAUAAAAAAUGUGUCAGAUGUUU